rnacentral:rRNA from 1 species
AGUCGACGAUUAAGCACCUUCGGGUGUGUAUAGAGUGGCGAACGGGUGAGUAACACGUGACCAACCUGCCUCUUACAUUGGGACAACCAAAAGAAAUUCUGGCUAAUACCAAAUACUCCGCACAUAUCACAUGAUGUAUGCGGGAAAGCUUUUGCGGUAAGAGAUGGGGUCGCGGCCCAUUAGGUAGACGGCGGGGUAGAAGCCCACCGUGCCGAUGAUGGGUAGCCGGGUUGAGAGACCGACCGGCCACAUUGGGACUGAGAUACGGCCCAGACUCCUACGGGAGGCAGCAGUGGGGAAUAUUGCGCAAUGGGGGAAACCCUGACGCAGCAACGCCGCGUGCGGGAUGAAGGCCUUCGGGUUGUAAACCGCUUUCAGCAGGGAAGACAUCGACGGUACCUACAGAAGAAGCCCCGGCUAACUACGUGCCAGCAGCCGCGGUAAUACGUAGGGGGCGAGCGUUAUCCGGAUUCAUUGGGCGUAAAGCGCGCGCAGGCGGUUGCUCAAGCGGAACCUCUAAUCUCGGGGCUUAACCUCGAGCCGGGUUCCGAACUGGACGACUCGAGUGCGGUAGAGGCAGAUGGAAUUCCCGGUGUAGCGGUGGAAUGCGCAGAUAUCGGGAAGAACACCAACGGCGAAGGCAGUCUGCUGGGCCGUCACUGACGCUGAGGCGCGAAAGCUGGGGGAGCGAACAGGAUUAGAUACCCUGGUAGUC